UUCUGAGUAUAUGUGUUACACUUUAAGAUACGGAUGUACGUGCAACAUGAACCAAUGGAUCAGCGUGACGUACCUUGGAGAUUCAUCAUCCAGGGCAGUUACAAUGUUCUAGAAACUGGUAUGAAAAGACAACUCAGCCGAAGACAAACAGCACAUAGUGGAAAAGCAAUCUCACAAGGAAGACGUGGAACAACAUUCUAUGGUCCUCGCUGAACUUGGUACAACCUCACCAGAACGCAACAUGAAGCUUGUGAUUGCUUACUGUAUGUUGGUCGUCUUGGCUAUGACUUUGCCACAAACACAGUGUUCCGUUUGUACCUACGCCAGCGUAGAGAGUUACACUGUACAAUGUGGAUUUUUGGGAAUUGCUAGAUGCACCAGAUACAGGAACGUAGUUCGUUAUCGAUACUGCUCUGCUGGAGCAACCAGCGGUAGCUGCUCCUAGCUAAGAGCUACCGGACCAUGAACCUGAGAGACCAGACCCUGAACCUGAGAGACCAGACGAUGGCUUUCCUCGACCUUUGUGAGAUCAACGUUGGAUCUUCUGACUACUCACCAUCAUAAACGACGUCGCUAGGCCUACACCUAAUACGUGUAUUUAGUUCUUUCAUAACAAUCGAUAUUUUCAAUGGAAAACGUACACGGGAAGAAGAUUCUUUGAAAUGUUGUUAGGUCGAACAAUGCUAUUAGACUUUUUAAUCAGUAUUUCAGGAAUGCAUUUUUUAAAAAAUACAUAUCUCACAAACCCCAUAGCAUGGCUGCAGCCUCAAUGGCAUGGUAGAACGCCCGCCUGUUGAGAACGUUUUACUCAACAGUCUGUGGAAACCAGGUUUGAAAAAGGGUUGGAAUCCCAGAAGAGCUCUUUAUUUUUCUUUCAAAUUGCUUUUUUUCUUUAUAAAUAUUAAUGUCUUGGGUUUUUUUUUUAAUGCAAGUAAAGUCCAAAUUUCAACGGGGGCUCUCAUUAGGUGUGAAGAAUAGUCUCCUCCCAAGACUGCCAAGAAAAAUUCCCAUAGGAAAGUACACUUUAUAUCCCCAGAAUGUUGUGUAAAAUGCUUCCCACUGCUACUCGGCCACAACUUUUCUAGCGAUGAAUACGGCCAUAUAGUGCGCCACCACGAGUUUGCAACGCGUUGGCCAAUCAUAAUGCGCGAAAUCUUUCGACCAAAUGCGCGUUUGGAGAGGGUCGACAGAUUUGGUGCGUUGUGAUUGAACGCAUUUUAAACUCUUGGUGGCGCACUAUUGUGAAUCGCCGGUAUUCGACGCAGGUACGGGCAAUGAAACUAGGACUAGUCAUCUCCAAGACGGCAAAUUUCCGUCAGUACGGCUUCAAAAAUUGUGAUUUCAUUAUUAUCAUCUCAAAGCGACAAUCCCCAUACUUGACCAUGGAAAUUGAUUAUCCGAGUUUUAAUUUAUCUCAUUUCUUUUAAUUGGAGCUCGUCAUAGACUUGUAAUAAUGACACAGAAACCAUUUUAUAGACCGCUGAGUGGUUUCAAACGCCAGAAAUUUGUAGGGUGAGCAGUAUCAUAACUAUCUGUCUGUGCAUUUACCUCAACAUACGAAUGCAAUCGGAAAAUCUGUAACUUGCGAAUGAUUUACUCAGAAAAUACCCACUUUUAAUCAUCAGUAAAUUUUAGAAAUAAGGAACGAAAACAGGCAGUGCCAUCUUUUAAAUAUCCAUUGAAAUUAAAACAGUUUAUUCGGGUUGCUUGUGGUUUGUAGCCAGCACUCGUGAAUUUGCAAGGUAUUACUGUUUCACGAAACCUAAGUAUAAUGUCUAUAAAGUUGUAUGCACCUUCGCUUUGCUACGUCACAAGCGCCGAUUUUGCUGUCUGUACUUUUACCAGUUAUUAAUUAACCGAGAAGUGCCGGGUCAAGAUGCUUACUCUCUCGACCUUCGCUUGGGUUUGCCUCCCGACAGCCAGAGUCGAUUGUGCACUUUUUCGGCAUGUUUUUCGUAGUUUAGCUUAGCACCUACGUAUCAUGUCAGUUUUGUAAUUUCUGCCUGACAUCUUAAUAUAUUUUAGCACCUUCAUGUAAAGCAAUCGCACUAGUGUAUUUAAUUGGGUAGAUGGGAAACGAACCAAGCAGGGAAUGUUUUUCCAAGGGUCGGUAGAUAUCAUGCCGGGUGUGGGUCUUAUUGUAUGUCUCGCUUCUGAGAAGUAAAAGAACUGACCAAGCAUGCAAAAUGUACACAGGCAGUUUGUUACGUCUUUAAUAAAAUGGACCCCAUGGCUACCUAUCGCGGGAAUGGCUGGGUGGAAGGGGCUGACCCUUCAAAAUUUAAGUUUAAAGUAAAAGAGACAAGGGGUGAAAACCGCGUGCUCCCCUGCCUUGCAGUUUAGCGCCCUCUACUUUGACAGUUUGUCCAUAUACUGCUGUCGAAUGCUCUNCCUCCUCCUUGGUAAGAAUUAUAACCCCGCCACCUGUAAAUGCUGGAUCCCUCACUGUUUAUCAUAAUAUAAUUCUGCGCAUGAAGGAAUGAAUGUUUAUUUGAGUGUAUGCUUACAUUGAUGGCUUUGCCGAAAUGUGUUUAACCAUCUUAUAAAUAAAUUCACUAGUUUGAU